UCAAAUCAUUCUGAACUUUUGUUUCGAGGAAGAACAAAGAGAUUGGUAACAUAGGAGAACCACAAAUUCGAAAAAUCAUGAUUGAAAACAAACUUGUCAUAGAAAGAAAGUUUAAUACCAUAUUUCACAUUCAAUUUCUGCAGCACAAGCAAAUAAUCAUGUCCCCUGCACAGUAUUUUCUAAGAAAUUCACCAGAAUAACUCAUAUCUGCACGAGUGUCAUGCUUCACAGCUCUAAUUCCAAAUAUGUUGGGGGAGAAGUUAUAUGCACCAGAUUUAGAAAUAACAGAAGCUUCGGAAAAACAUCCUGAUACAAGACACAAACUAGGAUCUAGGUCCAAACUCUACAAAUAAAUUUGUGUUUAAGCAUAAACACUUCCUUUCUGAAUAGACCUCAGGCCUAUGUCAAAUACACAAUAUAACAGAAACAACAUAAUGGACAUGCUCUUGACAAAUACACAAACCAAUCCCAUCACGAUAUAUAAUAGAAAAUUAGAAACUGGUCUAUUAGGAUCGAUUCCAUGUUCAGAUCCCAAGCAUAUAUGUAAACAGUAGACUCACAGGCAUAAAGCUCCCGACUAUAAAUCUGAAUUCAAAACAUUUAGAAGCUCAGUUGACACAAGGAUAUCAAUCAGAAAGGCAUAUAUAACAACCUAAUAUUUAGGUUUCCUUGAAGUAAACAUCAAAUUUAUAUCAAGUAGAUGCACCGGAGGAAAUGGUUCAGUCUAAAUUUGUACAGAGAAUUUGACAGAUCAGCUCCUAAUUUCUUAAUCUACUGGGAAAAGCCUAAAAUAGUAAUUGCUUACAGAAGGUCCAAGUAAAAUCAGUAUUCAUCAUAGCAUACUGAUUAAUACGCAAUCCUAGGGGCUACAAAAAGAAUGCAAACUAACAUUUGGUCAUUAAGUCACUACCCCAAAUAGCCAAUGUCAAAAGUUCAGACUUAAAUUCAAUUAAUCAUGUAUGAUAUAAAGACCAAUCCCCGAACAAGCAACAACAGCCAAGGUAGAUUGUCUUGAACCUACAAUUUUUCAUCUCUUUAAAGAAAUAGGGUUCGGGAGUUCCAAUAGAGCAUACAGGAAAUAGCAAGUACACACGUAAAUCACGCCAAGCACGACCUUCAGUACACGAGAUGUAAAUCACGCCAAGCACAACCUUCAACUAGUCUAAUACAAUGCAUGUCCUUUUAAAAAAGUCAGGGUGCUACCAAACAUUGACAUGACACUAGGACAGGAUAUCUUACUCGCAACCUACAAACAACACAGGACAGACUCAUAUCAACAGAAAAUUAUUAAUCUCUUUUCAGAAUAAGGGGUUCAAGUAGUAAAGAAGCAAGUAAUGACUUUAGCAAUCACACUGAGCACAACCUUCAACUAGUCAGAUACACAGCAUAUCCUUUUAGAAACAAACUUGGGGGUGCUACUGAAGAUUUAACAUGACAUUAGGACAUGAUAUCUUACUUGCAAGUUGCAACCAGGACAGAAUCAGAUCAACUCAAAUACAUCACACCUUUUGCAGUACAAAAGCCACAAUACAUUAUACUUGCAACAUUUAAAUAUAAGCUUAUGUAGAAGCUGAACUCACUCAAGAGUCAAGGAGAGGACCCAAAGAGGCUUGUUAUCGAUAUGCAUAUGGUGACGGUACAUCUGGGGUACAUAUACAAUCAAUCCAAGAAUAUAUAUAUAUAUUUCAUUCAAGAGAACAUCUUUCUUCUCUCUAAUUAUUACAGUUUUGAGGGUACUCCCAACUUCUAAUUCAGGUCCAAGCACAUACUA
rnacentral:lncRNA from 1 species